ACUCGUUUGGUUGAAUGCCGCAGGAGGACUCUGUUUGAGCAUGCGCAUUACCCUGUCAGCAUGGCGUUGAGGAAGUUUUUUGCCAGAGGCACCUGAGCAGAAAAUGUCACUUAUUCAAACCACAACGGGAACGUUUUUACGGGAUGCUAAGGUUCAUAUUUCAUUGUUCGUAGUCGGAUAGUGUCAUUGUUCAUGUUGUGUUUCGGUCAAAAUAGUUAUAAAACAGUUUCUAACUCAAAAGAACGUUAAUUUUAUCAGCUAUCAAGGAAUUUUGUCCAGUGUUGACUGUGGAAGGUGAAAGUGAAAACAGCAAUGAUCUCAGCUACUGAUCUGGAGCAGCUGGCUGAAAUAGAGCUCCAGAAGGAGGAAGAUGAGGAACAGGGUUGUCAUGGGUACCGUCCGGAUCGCCCUCCAGCCCCGCGUAGAGCCAGCUUCAGCCAGGACACCUCUCACCCCUACUACGAUGUGGCUCGACACGGGAUCCUACAGGUCAC